rnacentral:rRNA from 1 species
UACGGAGGCUGCACGCGUUAUCCGGAAUGAUUGGGCGUAAAGCGUCCGCAGGUGGUUGUGUGUGUCUAUUGUCAAAGCAUCAUGCUUAACAUGAUAAAGGCAGUAGAAACUACACGACUAGAGUGCGUUCGGGGCAGAGGGAAUUCCUGGUGUAGCGGUGAAAUGCGUAGAGAUCAGGAAGAACACCGGUGGCGAAAGCGCUCUGCUAGGCCGCAACUGACACUGAGGGACGAAAGCUAGGGGGGCGAAUGGG